AUCCCAUGGUGGGAACAUUGCCUCAAUAGCUCUUUAAAUUUUUCCCAAGCAUCAAACAAAGACUCGUCAUCUCCUUGUAUAAAUGAAGUAAUUUCAUUUCUCAUCAU